GAUGAACGCUAGCGGGAGGCCUAACACAUGCAAGCCGAGCGGUAGAGAUUCUUCGGAAUCUUGAGAGCGGCGUACGGGUGCGGAACACGUGUGCAACCUGCCUUUAUCAAGGGGAUAGCCUUUCGAAAGGAAGAUUAAUACCCUAUAAUAUAUGAUUCGGCAUCGGAUUAUAUUGAAAACUACGGUGGAUAAAGAUGGGCACGCGCAAGAUUAGCUAGUUGGUGAGGGAACGGCUCACCAAGGCGACGAUCUUUAGGGGGCCUGAGGGGGUGAUCCCCCACACUGGUACUGAGACACGGACCAGACUCGUACGGGAGGCAGCAGUGAGGAAUAUUAGACGAUGGGUGCAAGCCUGAUCCAGCCAUCCCGCGUGUAGGAAGACGGCCCUAUGGGUUGUAAACUACUUUUAUCUGAGGAUAAACCUACUUACGUGUAAGUAGCUGAAGGUACCAGAUGAAUAAGCACCGGCUAACUCCGUG
rnacentral:rRNA from 1 species